UACGAAGGGGGCUAGCGUUGCUCGGAAUUACUGGGCGUAAAGCGCACGUAGGCGGCUUUUUAAGUCAGGGGUGAAAUCCUGGAGCUCAACUCCAGAACUGCCUUUGAUACUGGGAAGCUUGAGUCCGGAAGAGGUGAGUGGAACUCCGAGUGUAGAGGUGAAAUUCGUAGAUAUUCGCAAGAACACCAGUGGCGAAGGCGGCUCACUGGCCCGAUACUGACGCUGAGGUGCGAAAGCGUGGGGAGCAAACAGG
rnacentral:rRNA from 1 species